GAUGAACGCUAGCGGCAGGCCUAAUACAUGCAAGUCGUACGGCAACACAGUUGCGAGCAAUCGCAACCGGUGGCGAGUGGCGCACGGGUGAGUAACGCGUAUGUAACCUACCCUUCUCCGGGACAUAACUCCGCGAAAGCGGUGCUAAUAUCCCAUACCAACUCAUCAAGACAUCUUCUUGAGUUGAAAGCAGCAAUGCGGUGAAGGAUGGGCAUGCGUCCCAUUAGCUGGUUGGUGAGGUAAUGGCCCACCAAGGCUACGAUGGGUAGGGGUUCUGAGAGGAAAGCCCCCCACACUGGUACUGAGACACGGACCAGACUCCUACGGGAGGCAGCAGUAAGGAAUAUUGGGCAAUGGUCGAAAGACUGACCCAGCCAUGCCGCGUGCAGGAUGAAGGCCCUAUGGGUUGUAAACUGCUUUUAGCCGGGAAUAAACACCCGUUUUAUAACGGGCCCGAAGGUACCGGCUGAAUAAGCAAUCGGCUAACUCCGUGCCAGCA
rnacentral:rRNA from 1 species